AUUGAACGCUGGCGGCAUGCCUUACACAUGCAAGUCGAACGGUAACAGGGUGCUUGCACCGCUGACGAGUGGCGAACGGGUGAGUAAUGCGUCGGAACGUGCCGAGUAGUGGGGGAUAACGCAGCGAAAGUUGUGCUAAUACCGCAUACGUACUGAGGUAGAAAGUGGGGGACCUUCGGGCCUCACGCUAUUCGAGCGGCCGACGUCUGAUUAGCUAGUAGGUGAGGUAAAGGCUCACCUAGGCGACGAUCAGUAGCGGGUCUGAGAGGAUGAUCCGCCACAGGGGGAGUGGGACACGGCCCAGACGCCUACGGGAGUAAGCAGUGGGGAAUUUUGGGCAAUGGGCGAAAGCAUGAUCCAGCCAUGCCGCGUGUCUGAAGAAGGCCUUCGGGUUGUAAAGGACUUUUGUCAGGGAGGAAAUCCCUAGUGCUAAUAACACUGGGGGAUGACAGUACCUGAAGAAUAAGCACCGGCUAACUACGUGCCAGCCGCCGCCGUAA
rnacentral:rRNA from 1 species